UACGUAGGGGGCAAGCGUUGUCCGGAAUCAUUGGGCGUAAAGCGCGUGUAGGCGGCUCGAUAAGUCCGCUCUGAAAGUCCAGGGCUCAACCCUGGAAGGCGGGUGGAUACUGUCGAGCUCGAGUCCGGAAGAGGCGAGUGGAAUUCCCGGUGUAGCGGUGAAAUGCGCAGAUAUCGGGAGGAACACCGGUGGCGAAGGCGGCAUCCUGGACCAAUACUGACACUGAGGAGCGAAAGCCAGGGGAGCAAACGGG
rnacentral:rRNA from 1 species